rnacentral:ncRNA from 1 species
UGUUUAUCUCAGGGCAGAGUGAAAUUCUCCACCGGCGGUGAUAUUUAUUCUGUUAAUUGAAUAAUUAAGUCCGCGAGCGUUCCAUUAUAGCAUUUUGUGAUGGAAGUCACCAGAUCCAGUGAGAUUCUGGAACCGACGGUUAUAGUCCGGAUGGGAGAUAAUAA